rnacentral:SRP_RNA from 1 species
ACGAACGGUCUAAGGAGCAGAUGGGGGUGGACAUCGACGGGGUCGUCACAGCCUUGCUGCCCAUCUGCGCCCGGCAUCCGGAGCGGUACUGGAUUUUGCCCCC